GCUGGGGGUCACACUGCACUGGGGUGUCCAGUGGGGUCAGGGCUAGGGGGGUCACACUGCACUGGGGUGUCCAGUGGGGUCAGGGCUGGGGGGGUCACACUGCCCUGGGGUGUCCAGUGGGGGCCUGACCUUGCUGAGCUCCUCUCGGCUGUCCUGCGUCCUGCCUCUGCUCCUCACUCCUAUCUCGCUUCACGCCGGCUCCCUCUGUCUGCUGACUUCUGAUUCUCUCCCUCUCUCUCCUCCUGUCUCUCCUCUCCCUCUCUCUCCUCCUCCUCCUCCUGUCUCUCCUCUCCCUCUCUCCUCCUCCUCCUGUCUCUCCUCUCCCUCUCUCUCCCCCUGCCCUCCUGUUUCUCCUCUCCCUCUCCCUUUCCCUCUCCUCCUCCUCUCUCUCCCCCUGCCCUCCUGUGUCUCCUCUCCCUCUCCCUUUCCCUCUCCUCCUCCUCUCUCUCCCCCUGCCCUCCUGUGUCUCCUCUCCCUCUCCUCCUCCUCCUCCUCUCUCUCCCCCUGCCCUCCUGUGUCUCCUCUCCCUCUCCCUCCCCCUGCCCUCCCGUGUCUCCUCUCCCUCAGUGUCUGACCCUGUGUCCUGACCCCACAGACCCGCGAGGGGAGGGGAAGGAGCGGAGUCCCGCGGAGAGAGCCCGAGCCGACCCCGAGCCCCAAGGCCGACACGUCAAGCUCGGCGGCCAGGACUGGAGCCCCAGACCCGCCAAGGGCGGGGACUCCUCACCGUUUCCCUGGCAACAGCCUGCCACGCCCACCCGCCGCCUGGGCCGCCCGCCGGAGGCGUCUCCCCGGCGACCCGCCGCCUGCUCCUCCCCUUCCUCCCUGUUUCCCUGGGAACGGGAGAGGAGCCCGCCCGCCCCCCGGAGACCGCCGGCCGAGAAGCCGCCACCCUCCCGCCGGCACGCCGACGACAUCGCUGACGGCGACAGCGCGUCGCAUUCUGGGGCGGAGGAGGACCCUCGGAAAGAGAAUGAAGGAGCUGGCGGAGCAGCAGCGUCUGUGCCGCAGCCUGGAGAGCCAGUGGCAGCAGGAGAGCAGCAAGCUGGGGCAGGAGCUGCAGCAGGCCCGGGCCCAGCACCACGCCCUGCAGGCGCAGGCCGACAAGGUGAGGCCCUCCCGCCGGGGCUCCUGCAGGCUCGGCCUGCGAUUCGUCCCUCCUCCGCCUGCUGCGACUCGCAGGGAGCGACACUCUGAGUCACUCGGGUGGCCCCCCCCCCCGCCUGCCCGGAAAGGAAUCGCACAGACGCCCCCGAGGGCGGGAAACCGAACCGGCCGGUUUGGCGCUGGAACGCUGCUUGUGCUCUUGUCCUCUGCCACGUGGCUGCUUGUUCCACCCUCCCACCACCCUUUGGGCACAGACGAGCCUCCCGUCGUCGUCUGUCUCUUGCUUCUCCCCCCCAACCCCACCCCUGCUCCGCGUGGAGAAUCUCCCCAGCCUCGCCUCGCCUCGCCUCGCCGUCUUUCUCGGAAACCUGUGCCGUCGGGCUGAGUCACAGCAGCCCUUCGUUUCCAGCAGCUCACGCGCGUGAGAGAGAGGGGUUCGCGGGGGCGCAGGACAGCCCACUCCCACUCCCACUCCCACUCCCACUCCCACUCCCGCCUGCGCUGCGCGGGUCCGAACCGAUAACGGCUCAGUGUCGCUUGGAGUCUCGUCCCCGGAGGAGCAGCUGUGCGGGCUCCUCGGCGAGGGGGGGCUUGUUUACAGCCGGGCAGAGCCAGGGAGCGUAAAUGUUUCCAUUGCUCCCUCUGCGCUGGCGGGCAGUGUCCCGUUUUCUCUCCUGCCUCCUGUGAGCCUCGUCUAGCUCCUCCUCCUCCUCCUCCUCCUCCUCUCCCUGCCUGUGCCCUGGGAGUCCAGGCCCGGCAGCAGGCGGCCCGAUCGCAGAGCGACUCCCCUGCGUCUGUAACCCGAGAGGGAGAGACUUUGACCUUGCUGGGAUGUUUAUCUCUGUUGCUUCCCAGCGCGCACUCUGCCUGGGUGGUGUGAGUUCGCUCUCUCACUCUCUCUCUCUCACUCUCGGUCUCUGGAGCACCCCUGGGGGGGGAGGGCUGGGACGAGGCAGGGGGAGGAAGGAAUGGGGAGACGGGCAGGGACACUGGGGUGCACCCCCUUCCCUGGAGGUCUAGAGACCCUGCUCUGCAAUUCAGAAUAUCCCCGGCCCAGUGGACAGACAGCU
rnacentral:lncRNA from 1 species